UCACCUGUGGGAGGAAGAAAGUAGGAUAAGGCUGAUCAGGGUACCCUGAGUUCAGAGGCUGAGACUCUGUCCAUCUUCCAAGAGGGCACACCAGUAGUCCCCAAGCAGAAAGGGCUUCAGAGGAAACUGCUCCCCAAGGAUACCAGUGCUGGGCACAGUCCUGAGCUGCCUUCCAGUCUAUGGGGACCUGUCUAUCAGCACUGACCCAGACGGGGCAGCAUUGGGAAGCAGGAGCUAAGAGGGAGCUGUGGCCUGGCCUGAGACUCAGGUGCUAGGAGUUAAAUCACAGUACACUGGAUAAAGGAGCAGGCACAGAUGCAGCCAGCAGCUGAGGGACAGUCUGACAGUUUGAGUUGAGCACUAUCCAUGGAGGGCUGUUCUAGGCUCUGACACUGUUGGGGCUGAUCCACAAGAUCCUUCCCUGGGCAUGAGGGCUCUGAGUCCAUUCUCCAGCUCUCCAGUAGCUACAGUCCAGCAGGGAGACAGACAGACUGGCGCAGAACCUCACUGCUGUGAGCUGGUACACAAACACCCAUCCCUUAUACCCUGCAGAGCACCAAGCUCUGACUAUAGCUGCAUUCUGCAACUGAACAAACAAUGGCUCAGAGAGAUUAAGAUAGUUGAGUUACUCAGGAGCAAGACAGCAAAGAGAAAGAAUCAGGUAGGGAUAAAUAACAUGGAAAGAAAUCAUCUCUCACCAGGCAGAGUGACACAGGCCUAUAAUCUCAGCAUUUCAGAGGUAAAACCAGGAGGAGCAAGAGCUCAAAGUCUGUCUUAAAACACUAUGAGACAGGGGCUGGGGAUUUAGCUCAGUGGUUAGAGCGCUUACCUAGGAAGCGCAAGGCCCUGGGUUCGGUCCCCAGCUCCGAAAAAAAGAACCAAAAAAAAAAAACCACUAUGAGACAACAAAGGCCAUCUCAAAACACAAGAACUCUCUAGAAGCAGAGACAUUCCGACAGCCAGGAAGGAGAUAGUCCAGGUCAGGGCCAUUUAGAAGCCUCUCUUUGGACACUGCUGGCUCCAGUCCUGUGCUAGUUUCUCCCGCUGGCUGUCCCAUCCUGUCAGCCUUCAAAAGUAAAUGUCUAGCUGUCCUGGACUUGCUCUGUCAAUCAAGUUGGCCUCAAACACAGAGAUCUACCUGCAUCUAGCUGGGAUGUGCCACCACGCCUGGCCUCAUCUGUUUGUUUAAGGUGCCCCUGGACACCAGAAGAGGUUGCCGCGCCCCUGAGCUGGAGUUACAGGCAGUGACUGGUGAGCUGUCCAGUGUGGGUGAUGGGGAUUGAACUAUGGUGUCCUGCAACAACAGUCCAGCCUCUUAAUGUCUGAGUCAGUUCUCCAGCACCCACCCCCUCUCUACCCCACCCCCCAAAAAGAAGUUUAGCUGAUGUGAUGGCCCACUCCUGCAUUCCAAGCAUCCAGGAGGGAGACUUGGAAGAUCUCUUUGGGUUGAAGACAACCUGGAUUGCAUGUCGAGUUCUGGAUCAGUUAAGGCUCUCUACAGAGACUGUCUCAAAAAAGUAAAUAUAUAAAUAAAUAAAUAAAUGUUAUUAUUAUUAUUA